GGUUAAGCGACUAAGCGUACACGGUGGAUGCCCUGGCAGUCAGAGGCGAUGAAGGACGUGCUAAUCUGCGAAAAGCGUCGGUAAGGUGAUAUGAACCGUUACAGCCGGCGAUGUCCGAAUGGGGAAACCCAGUGCAAUUCGUUGCACUAUCGUUAACUGAAUACAUAGGUUAACGAGGCGAACCGGGGGAACUGAAACAUCUAAGUACCCCGAGGAAAAGAAAUCAACCGAGAUUCCCCCAGUAGCGGCGAGCGAACGGGGAACAGCCCAGAGUCUGAAUCAGCUUGUGUGUUAGUGGAACGGUCUGGAAAGUCCGACGGUACAGGGUGAUAGUCCCGUACACCAAAAUGCACAGGUUGUGAACUCGAAGAGUAGGGCGGGACACGUGGUAUCCUGUCUGAAUAUGGGGGGACCAUCCUCCAAGGCUAAAUACUCCUGACUGACCGAUAGUGAACCAGUACCGUGAGGGAAAGGCGAAAAGAACCCCGGCGAGGGGAGUGAAAAAGAACCUGAAACCGUGUACGUACAAGCAGUGGGAGCACCUUCGGGUGUGACUGCGUACCUUUUGUAUAAUGGGUCAGCGACUUAUAUUCUGUAGCAAGGUUAACCGUAUAGGGGAGCCGCAGGGAAACCGAGUCUUAACUGGGCGUUAAGUUGCAGGGUAUAGACCCGAAACCCGGUGAUCUAGCCAUGGGCAGGUUGAAGGUUGGGUAACACUAACUGGAGGACCGAACCGACUAAUGUUGAAAAAUUAGCGGAUGACUUGUGGCUGGGGGUGAAAGGCCAAUCAAACCGGGAGAUAGCUGGUUCUCCCCGAAAGCUAUUUAGGUAGCGCCUCGUGAACUCAUCUUCGGGGGUAGAGCACUGUUUCGGCUAGGGGGUCAUCCCGACUUACCAACCCGAUGCAAACUACGAAUACCGAAGAAUGUUAUCACGGGAGACACACGGCGGGUGCUAACGUCCGUCGUGAAGAGGGAAACAACCCAGACCGCCAGCUAAGGUCCCAAAGUCAUGGUUAAGUGGGAAACGAUGUGGGAAGGCACAGACAGCCAGGAUGUUGGCUUAGAAGCAGCCAUCAUUUAAAGAAAGCGUAAUAGCUCACUGGUCGAGUCGGCCUGCGCGGAAGAUGUAACGGGGCUAAACCAUGCACCGAAGCUGCGGCAGCGACACUAUGUGUUGUUGGGUAGGGGAGCGUUCUGUAAGCCUGCGAAGGUGUGCUGUGAGGCAUGCUGGAGGUAUCAGAAGUGCGAAUGCUGACAUAAGUAACGAUAAAGCGGGUGAAAAGCCCGCUCGCCGGAAGACCAAGGGUUCCUGUCCAACGUUAAUCGGGGCAGGGUGAGUCGACCCCUAAGGCGAGGCCGAAAGGCGUAGUCGAUGGGAAACAGGUUAAUAUUCCUGUACUUGGUGUUACUGCGAAGGGGGGACGGAGAAGGCUAUGUUAGCCGGGCGACGGUUGUCCCGGUUUAAGCAUGUAGGCUGGUUGUCCAGGCAAAUCCGGAUAAUCAAGGCUGAGGUGUGAUGACGAGGCACUACGGUGCUGAAGUAACAAAUGCCCUGCUUCCAGGAAAAGCCUCUAAGCAUCAGGUAACAUUAAAUCGUACCCCAAACCGACACAGGUGGUCAGGUAGAGAAUACCAAGGCGCUUGAGAGAACUCGGGUGAAGGAACUAGGCAAAAUGGUGCCGUAACUUCGGGAGAAGGCACGCUGGUGUGUAGGUGAAGCCCCUGCGGGUGGAGCUGAGACCAGUCGAAGAUACCAGCUGGCUGCAACUGUUUAUUAAAAACACAGCACUGUGCAAACACGAAAGUGGACGUAUACGGUGUGACGCCUGCCCGGUGCCGGAAGGUUAAUUGAUGGGGUUAUCCGUAAGGAGAAGCUCUUGAUCGAAGCCCCGGUAAACGGCGGCCGUAACUAUAACGGUCCUAAGGUAGCGAAAUUCCUUGUCGGGUAAGUUCCGACCUGCACGAAUGGCGUAAUGAUGGCCAGGCUGUCUCCACCCGAGACUCAGUGAAAUUGAACUCGCUGUGAAGAUGCAGUGUACCCGCGGCAAGACGGAAAGACCCCGUGAACCUUUACUAUAGCUUGACACUGAACAUUGAGCCUUGAUGUGUAGGAUAGGUGGGAGGCUUUGAAGCGUGGACGCCAGUCUGCGUGGAGCCAACCUUGAAAUACCACCCUUUAAUGUUUGAUGUUCUAACGUUGGCCCCUGACCGGGGUUGCGGACAGUGUCUGGUGGGUAGUUUGACUGGGGCGGUCUCCUCCCAAAGCGUAACGGAGGAGCACGAAGGUUAGCUAAUCCUGGUCGGACAUCAGGAGGUUAGUGCAAUGGCAUAAGCUAGCUUGACUGCGAGCGUGACGGCGCGAGCAGGUGCGAAAGCAGGUCAUAGUGAUCCGGUGGUUCUGAAUGGAAGGGCCAUCGCUCAACGGAUAAAAGGUACUCCGGGGAUAACAGGCUGAUACCGCCCAAGAGUUCAUAUCGACGGCGGUGUUUGGCACCUCGAUGUCGGCUCAUCACAUCCUGGGGCUGAAGUAGGUCCCAAGGGUAUGGCUGUUCGCCAUUUAAAGUGGUACGCGAGCUGGGUUUAGAACGUCGUGAGACAGUUCGGUCCCUAUCUGCCGUGGGCGCUGGAGAAUUGAGGGGGGCUGCUCCUAGUACGAGAGGACCGGAGUGGACGCAUCACUGGUGUUCGGGUUGUCAUGCCAAUGGCACUGCCCGGUAGCUAAAUGCGGAAGAGAUAAGUGCUGAAAGCAUCUAAGCACGAAACUUGCCCCGAGAUGAGUUCUCCCUGAGACUUUAAGUCUCCUGAAGGAACGUU
rnacentral:rRNA from 1 species